UAUUCCGAGACGGAGGGAGUAUAAAAGAGUUAUUUUAAAUGUUAAAAGAAUUAUUAAUAUUAUUUUGUUCUAUUAUUUCAAAUGUUAAGUGUAUGUAACUUUAUUCUACUCCGUAUUAUUUUGUUCUUGUUGAUCAACCUAAGCCUAAUUCCUUCCCUUAUCUCCUUUCACCUUGAUGACUGAUGAGUCAUCCCUUUCCUCACUUACACACAGUCACGCAGUCACACAUCACCUCUCCUCUCUCUCCCUUCACCACAAAUUCUCUCCUUCUUUCCUACUCCUUGUGUCGCCGCGCCGCCAGCCGUUUCCCUUUCGCCGGCGACGUUGAUUCUGCUGCCGAGGAUGUUCGUUGUUGUUGUUGUGUGUGAUUUUGUUGUUGCUCCCCUCCCUCGUCUCUCCUUUCUCUCGUCCAAGCUUCGUGAUGUCGCCGUCGAUGGUGGCCGCUAAACCACCCUCAUCUAGACCUCGUCUUCAAUUGAUAAACCAUCUAAAUCCUUCCAUAAAUUGAUUGAAUUAAAUUUUGAUUUAAAAUUUCAAACCCUAACUAAUUGAAUUUCUCUCUCCUCCUGUUGUGGGUGCGCCACCACUUUUGGGUUGUCGGUGCGACGGUGUUCCAUCGUCGUUGUCGUAUGUUGUUGGAGGUUGAUCGGUGUUGAUCGUUGUGUUCUUGUUCCUCUCCCCUGCUUCACUCCUCUACCUCUCCUCUCCUCCGGUAGACUCACGGAGCGCCACCUCCUCGUGGCUCUGCCAGAGCUGUUGUUGCUAUUCCGUUGAUGUUGUUGUUGUGUUAUCUGUCUUAUGGUUUUUGUCGCUGCUUCUCUGCCUCCUUAUUUCUCUUAUGGGAAUCAGGCAGAGCAAAGUACUUUCUUUGAUGGGCAAUAAUGUCCAGCUAGAGACUUUGGUUAGUGUAGAUUUGAGGCAGUCGUCAAGCAUGUGAAGGCAGCUAGCAGACAUCAACACGACUAUGAGGCUAUCAACCUAGGUAUAUGUACGAAAUUAUAUGAGGCAAAUUGCUCAAGAAUAGGUUACCCAUGAACCUGUGGCGCCAAAUUAGUAAGAAUAAGGGAUAAGGGUGUGUAGUCUCAUCUUUAACUUUUUUUUCUCUACAAGCUAAGGAUAUACUUUAUCCAUUUCGAACGUGUACUCUGCCAUUAAUUUACUGUACUUAGUGGGAUGCAUUGAAAUUCAAUUUUACGAUUUAUAA